GAAGACGACGAGGUAGAUAGGCUGGGGGUGGAAGUGCAGUAAUGCAUGGAGCUGACCAGUACUAAUCGGUCGAGGGCUUAUCCAA
rnacentral:rRNA from 1 species